rnacentral:rRNA from 1 species
GGGAAUAUUGGACAAUGGGCGCAAGCCUGAUCCAGCAAUGCCGCGUGGGUGAAGAAGGUUUUCGGAUUGUAAAGCCCUUUCGGCGGGGACGAUGAUGACGGUACCCGCAGAAGAAGCUCCGGCUAACUUCGUGCCAGCAGCCGCGGUAAUACGAAGGGGGCUAGCGUUGCUCGGAAUGACUGGGCGUAAAGGGCGCGUAGGCGGUUGGUACAGUCAGAUGUGAAAUUCCUGGGCUUAACCUGGGGGCUGCAUUUGAUACGUGCUGGCUUGAGUGGGGAAGAGGGUCGUGGAAUUCCCAGUGUAGAGGUGAAAUUCGUAGAUAUUGGGAAGAACACCGGUGGCGAAGGCGGCGACCUGGUCCUUGACUGACGCUGAGGCGCGAAAGCGUGGGGAGCAAACA